CUCCUCGCGGCCCCAGCCCGCGCUCCUCCCUCAGCCGCCCCCGCGCGGGGCGGACGAGACAAGAUGGCGGCGGGUGCGGCGGGGCGGGUGUUCAGCACUGAAGAGAUGAACAGAUCUACCCCUCUUAGUCUAUGUUGGAUUUUACAGUAUGUUUGGCAGCACCAAGAGCUAAUGGGAUUUCUCAUGCCAACACUAAACCGAGACUAAGCUUCGACCCUUUAUACGGAAUUGUUAAAAGAGGAAGCUGCAGUACCAAAAGCAGACCAUGCUUGACUGCAUGAGUGUACCUCUCUCAGAGCAAAUUAAAUCUUACUUCACAAACUUUUUGAGAUACAAACUUUAAAGUUAAAUCUUUCAACAUUGCAUUUUUUUUUUUUGCAUGGUAGCAAUGAACCAGUGAUUGACUUCUUAGAGCUGUAACUUGAAUAACUGGGGAGAAUGAAUGCUAAAGUUCCUAGUGAUAUACAUACAAAAUGUGUUUUUAUCCCUUCAAAUUAAGAUUUGUAGUUUGAUUUACUAUCGGGACCAUAGAGGUCAUUUUUAAAACAAACAAAUUAACAGCAUCAACAAAAAAGUAUAAGCAAACCCUUUGUUUCUGCAGGCUCUUGUUUUUUUUUCCUAGUAGCAUCAGUCCCUUUUUAGAUACUUGGUAAACCAAAACUUACUGUACUGCUGUUUAAUACAGUUUAUUUUUCUCAGCUAGAAAGAGGUAUAUGUUGAAAAUGUGAAUGUUGUUAACAAAAAGGAAUGUAUUGGCAAAGUAAGACAGUAAUUCAUAACUAGCUAUAACAAAAAAAAAAGAUAAAAAAAAAAAGAUGAAGAGAAAAAGAAGAAAAAGAUCAAGAAAAAGACAGCUGCUUACAAAGGCGAAUUGUGAACUGUUUUUAAGCAAUACCACUACAGGCAUUCAGGGUACUUGUAGCUGUAUCACUAACUGUAUGCUACUGAAGUAAAGAGUCCCUUACAUUUAAAUUGUGUGCUUUAAUGAUUUAAACAUCACUGAAUGAAUAUUUCAUUUUAUAUUAUGAGAGCCUAAGGAUAGCCUAAUAUAAAUAGCUAGCAACCUGUCCUGGUUUCACCCCACAGUGCUUGACAGUUGCUUGUGUCUUGGGCAACUACCAGAACUAUGAUUUGACUAAAUCUGGAUUAAAUUUUUCUCACUGUAGAAGAGUGCUCGCCUCCAGCAUAUGCACAAGAUAGUAUCAAGAUGCACACUGCUUAAAUUUACAAUAAUUUAUUGUGUUUAGGAACAGUGAAUAAAUACCAAGCUGUUAGCUUCAGUUUGGCAAUCCUUUUCCACCCAAAAUGUUUUUUUUUUUCCCUGGCAGAAACUCCAUUGCCAGCAAUGGAUGCAUCAGAACAAGAAAUUAAUAAACAAUACAUACAGACAGCAGUUUUCUAAACAUACCCCCUCUUUUAAAAGACAUGAUACAGAUUUUCUGAACAAGUCUCAAGCAAAUUCUUCACAGAAGAAAAUUUUGCUACACGCUGUCGUCUCUUCGAACAUUGUUUUCUUCACCAAUGCUGGUAGUUUAUUUCAUGGAGCACUUUAUUUAUUUUUAACAGUACUGAUGGAUCAUUAAAAACAAUUUUUGUUUUCUACUGAAGGCGAAGAUGUGCUCUGACUUGACCUGGUUCACAUCCAUCACAAGUAUCACUGCCAGGAUGUAUAUGAAAAGAAAGUACGGUUUCACCAAUCUUCACUUCAUCACCAUGCUCCAAGAUGUAGGGAUCACAUUUUGUUUUCGGCUAUAGCAAAAGAAAGUUUUGUCAGCCAUGGUUAUUAGUUCCUAAAGCAGGACACCAAAUCUAUUUUGUGAAUGCUGCUCAUAAUCUAAUGAUUCAGCUUCAUUUUUCAAAUGCAGACAAAUAUUUAAACCAUGGGAUGUAUUUCACUCUAGCAACUGUAAAUUGUAGUAGAUUUUUCCUAAUUCAUUAUAUAAAACAAACAUGAAAUAUUACAAGUGGCCCUGAAAACCGAAGGGAAUCAAGGAAGGAAUUACUGUAUGAAAAAAGCCAUACAAUGACAUUGCUAGUGAUUUGCCAUACCAUAUUUUAAAAUGACUACAGUUUUCUGCAACACUACAGCAAAUACUUACCUGAAGAAUCUGAUUUCCAUUAACGACUGUCCCAUUCUGACUGCCUUGAUCCACAAGAACGUAAUUUUGCAAAUCAUGGUCAAAAUAUACUUCUGCAUGGAACUGAUAAAGAGAAGACUAAGUGAAAUAUUCUCAUUAAGCAUGUAUUUCACAAUUUACAUGCUGUUUUAAAGUAAGAUUUCAGAAUAUAUUUUAGCGACUUAACUGAAUGGGUUUGGUUAAUAGAAUAUUCCAUGCUUUAUGAUUCUAUAUAUUUGAAAUGUAAAUGAAUGGACUGCAACAACAUGAGAUAAAGUGUACCAGUAAAAAUAUAACUAUUUUUACCAUAAACAGAUCCAGCACUGAAAACAUAUAUGUACUUUCAAUAUAGAAAGUAUACUUUACUUAAAGGAUUGCAGGAUCUAGUAAUAAAGCAUUUUUAGCUGUUCUUAUAAAUACAUGGUAUUUUUGCCUUGUAAGGUAUGUUACAGCAAUCUCAAAUUUCCCCUUUCUGGAACGCAUCAAAAAAGAUACUUAAAGAAAUGCAAUCAAUAAAAAAUCUGAAUAUCUACA